GCCUAAUACAUGCAAGUCGAGCGAACAGACGAGGAGCUUGCUCCUCUGACGUUAGCGGCGGACGGGGGAGUAACACGUGGAUAACCUACCUAUAAGACUGGGAUAACUUCGGGAAACCGGAGCUAAUACCGGAUAAUAUAUUGAACCGCAUGGUUCAAUAGUGAAAGACGGUUUUGCUGUCACUUAUAGAUGGAUCCGCGCCGCAUUAGCUAGUUGGUAAGGUAACGGCUUACCAAGGCAACGAUGCGUAGCCGACCUGAGAGGGUGAUCGGCCACACUGGAACUGAGACACGGUCCAGACUCCUACGGGAGGCAGCAGUAGGGAAUCUUCCGCAAUGGGCGAAAGCCUGACGGAGCAACGCCGCGUGAGUGAUGAAGGUCUUCGGAUCGUAAAACUCUGUUAUUAGGGAAGAACAAAUGUGUAAGUAACUAUGCACGUCUUGACGGUACCUAAUCAGAAAGCCACGGCUAACUACGUGCCAGCAGCCGCGGUAAUACGUAGGUGGCAAGCGUUAUCCGGAAUUAUUGGGCGUAAAGCGCGCGUAGGCGGUUUUUUAAGUCUGAUGUGAAAGCCCACGGCUCAACCGUGGAGGGUCAUUGGAAACUGGAAAACUUGAGUGCAGAAGAGGAAAGUGGAAUUCCAUGUGUAGCGGUGAAAUGCGCAGAGAUAUGGAGGAACACCAGUGGCGAAGGCGACUUUCUGGUCUGUAACUGACGCUGAUGUGCGAAAGCGUGGGGAUCAAACAGGAUUAGAUACCCUGGUAGUCCACGCCGUAAACGAUGAGUGCUAAGUGUUAGGGGGUUUCCGCCCCUUAGUGCUGCAGCUAACGCAUUAAGCACUCCGCCUGGGGAGUACGACCGCAAGGUUGAAACUCAAAGGAAUUGACGGGGACCCGCACAAGCGGUGGAGCAUGUGGUUUAAUUCGAAGCAACGCGAAGAACCUUACCAAAUCUUGACAUCCUCUGACCCCUCUAGAGAUAGAGUUUUCCCCUUCGGGGGACAGAGUGACAGGUGGUGCAUGGUUGUCGUCAGCUCGUGUCGUGAGAUGUUGGGUUAAGUCCCGCAACGAGCGCAACCCUUAAGCUUAGUUGCCAUCAUUAAGUUGGGCACUCUAAGUUGACUGCCGGUGACAAACCGGAGGAAGGUGGGGAUGACGUCAAAUCAUCAUGCCCCUUAUGAUUUGGGCUACACACGUGCUACAAUGGACAAUACAAAGGGUAGCGAAACCGCGAGGUCAAGCAAAUCCCAUAAAGUUGUUCUCAGUUCGGAUUGUAGUCUGCAACUCGACUAUAUGAAGCUGGAAUCGCUAGUAAUCGUAGAUCAGCAUGCUACGGUGAAU
rnacentral:rRNA from 1 species